AUUGAACGCUGGCGGCAGGCCUAACACAUGCAAGUCGAACGAGUGGCGGACGGGUGAGUAAUGUCUGGGAAACUGCCUGAUGGAGGGGGAUAACUACUGGAACCGGUAGCUAAUACCGCAUACCAUCGGAUGUGCCCAGAUGGGAGUAGCUAGUAGGUGGGGUAACGGCUCACCUAGGCGACGAUCCCUAGCUGGUCUGAGAGGAUGACCGGCCGCACUGGAACUGAGACACGGUCCAGACUCCUACGGUAGGCAGCAGUGGAGAAGAUUGCACGAUGGGCGCAAGCCUGAUGCAGCCAUGCCGCGUGUAUGAAGAAGGCCUUCAGGUUGUAAAGUACUUGCAGCGGGGAGGCGUUACCCGCAGAAGAAGCGCCGGCUAACUCCGUGCCAGCAGCCGCGGUAAUUC
rnacentral:rRNA from 1 species